AAAAGUACUCUGAAUAAUUUUAAUAAACAUUAGGAUCUGAAAUAGCAAGGUAGAGUUUAUAACUAAAGAAAUUUCUGUUCCUAUUAUUUUCUAACAUUUUCAGUGUAAGCAGCAAACCCUAAGAGGAUCAACCAUAUUUUAUGUCAUCAGCAUUUUAUAAGUGCCACAUUUAAGUACUUCACUGAAAAUACCAUGAGUAUGUAUAAAGAUGAAAGGCUUAUGAAUAUAAAUAAAGCUAAGACUCCAACUGCAAACCUUAUCAUUUUCUAAAAUACAUUUUAUUAGAAAUGGCUAAAGAUUCUUGAAUUUUACCUUCUGAGUUCUCAGUUUAUAAUGUACAAAUAAAAAACUAUGCAUUAAAGAAUUAUACAAACUGAAGUAGGACAGAAAAAAAAGGAAAUCAAUAAAUAUCCCAAUGACAAACCAUGACAAUAACAGAGAAGGGUCACUAAAAUUGUGACACAGACCCUAAGAUCACCACCCCAGCCAUCAAAACAUUUAAACAAACUACUUAGUAUUAAUAGCCUUUAUGGAAUAACAAGAACUAUUAAAGUCAGAUUAGUCUACAAACAAGGAAGCCCAAACUUUCAAGAUUGUUGCCUUACUGCCCUCGAGAGUUCACCUCUCCCAUGAAAAAUGGCAAUAUAAAAAUUCUAAAGUACCUCCAUAAGCCCAAAGGAAAGCCUGUGGACAGACAGAUGAUGUGAUAUAUUUCUUCCUUUCCAUUCUUGGGCAGCUUCUUCUCUCUGCGGCUGAAAGCAAAUGCUUUGAGACUCAGUCGCAUAUUUAAUUAGAAGCAAGCUGCUUGCACUAUCACCGUGCGAAUCUACCUCUCCAAUCUCUCGUGAGUCAAUCUUUCCCAUCUCUGAUUUUCUUUUAUAUUUAUGCUAGAAUAUUUAAUUGUAGACAAAAGGUUACUCUGGCUGUAUUCACUGCACAGAGGCAGAAUAAUCUGCUUUAAAAGGCUUGACAUUUCAGGCUUUUCAAAAAGGCUGAAAAAAUUAUAUCCCUGCUUUUGUUAAUCAAUGAAGUAGAACUCUCCUGAACAAAAGAAUUAAAUUGCUUGGUUGGUUUAAUAAAACCAACAGAAAUAGCUGCUUCCUCUGGGCUUUAUUGUGUAGGCAUGGCACACGCAUCCAGCACUGUAAUUCCAUAUGAUUCAGGGGCAAAACUCUAAUUUCUGCACACAGUUGGGUUUUUAAAUCCUAUUCAAACUCUAUCCAUUCUGGUUGGUUCUCUAAGGCCAGAUUUAUCAUUAAACUUGACUUUUUCCUAGGUGCAGCAGCCAUACAGCAAUUUUGGGUUUUGUUAUUCAGCUUUAGGAAAAAAUGUUCAUUAAAAAUGUAUUAAUGUAACUAUUACUUUUACAUAGUUUUAUUUAGCUAAUAGCUAAUAGUUUUACACUUUUGUCAGCUAUUUAAUAACUGCACAAGUAGUUGAGGGUGUGAACAAGUGCCAGCGAGUUUGAUAGGACCAUAUAAACAGUAGUUAGAAAAACCAUAAGCAUCCACCAAGAAAACAUUAUUUUGUUACUGUUAAAUUUUCAGGCAUGAUUUGGUAUUAAUUGGACAUUUUCAGCAAAGGAGUAUCAUUAUUUCUGAAAGACUGUAAAGCAGCUACACGGUUGCUACACUGUCUUGUCCUCUGGACUACUACUUGCCACAAUUUAAUUAAGAGAUACUAUACCUUUACUCAUUGAAUGGUCACCCCAAUAUAUAGUAAGUAGGCCCUUCUGAUGAAAGCAUACUUCAACACCAGCUGUUUUAAAAUAAAUAAAAAGCCCAGAAACUCACUGGCAUGCUACAGAAGCUUUGGACACUUGCUGCAAAAGAUGCAUCUAUUUUCUAUACUGUGUCACUUUCAAGUGACAUCGACAGUGGACAUACUUUCCCAUGCAUACAGAUAUUGAAGGGCCAAAGAGAUGCUUUGGAAAGAUCAGUUAUUUGCCCUGCUAGCCUGUCUAAUAUUACCAGUUGUUUAUUACUCAGCUGUAAGCACACCAUCAUAUAGCUUGAGGACAGAUCAAUAUACCUAUGUUGAUUGCUGUCUUUUCCCCAACUUCAGAGAAGAUCCAUGAAGGUGCAGCAUCUGUCCUACAAUAUAAUUUAAAGGCCGAACUUUGGUUUUUCCAUCUCAGAUUUGUUUUCCCAGAAACAAAGCACUUCUAACUAUAGUUGAAGUGAAGCAACUUGGAUUCCUGCUCAAGGGAAUCAGUACCACUGGCACAUAAGCACAUCUUGGUAAGUUGUAGUUUCCUUGGCUAAAUCCCACUGUAUUUUUCAUGUGAAAAGUAUUGCUAGCAAACUACAUUGUGAUCUUCUGAAAGGAUCAGGCCAUGAUCACAUGAGUCAUUAUUAUACAACUGAUAUAAUCUCCAGAACCCACGGCUGAGAGGUGGGAAAAACUCUGAUGACAAGAGGGGCUUGGGCCCUUACACCUGCCCAUGUUUAUUUGGGGAUUUGAAAUACCAUUACAGAGCACUAUUUAAAAUGUUCAUAAAACAUUUCAGUUAGCAAUGGUGAUUGGAAUGGGGCAUUUGAGAAUAUAUGACUUGGGGGAAAACGUCCUAGCUUGGUGGUAUUUCAUCUCAGUUGUUUUAGUCUUUGAAGAAAUGUUGACAUGGUAUUCCAAAGCAUUACAAGUAGUACUGGAAGCACGCACAUUACCCAGACUCCUUUUCAUGCAGACGAAUCUCAGACUUUACUUUUUUCUGUGGUUAUGUAUAAUGGAAGGGAAUUGUGCCUAUAAAAGUAAAUUUACUAUACAUAUAUACAAUUCAUAUAUACAAUGAAAAAAACUGAAUUAAGAAGCAUAAUGAGUACUGACAGAAAAAUCAGUAUUAUAUUCAACUUUAGACUUAAAGCAAACGACACUGUAAUACAGUGUGUUUAGCUUGUUCACACUUGCAAUGCAUGUUUUAUAC
ensembl:lncRNA